GGGAAAGGCUUCGGCCGGACAGGGAUGGGCAUGCGGCGCAUUAGGCAGUAGGCGGGGUAACGGCCCACCUAACCGACGAUGCGUAGGGGUUCUGAGAGGAAGGUCCCCCACACUGGUACUGAGACACGGACCAGACUCCUACGGGAGGCAGCAG
rnacentral:rRNA from 1 species